rnacentral:rRNA from 1 species
UACAGAGGGUGCAAGCGUUGUUCGGAAUUAUUGGGCGUAAAGCGCGUGUAGGCGGCUUUGCAAGUCGGGUGUGAAAGCCCUCAGCUCAACUGAGGAAGUGCGCCCGAAACUGUAGGGCUUGAGUAUGGAAGAGGGUCUCGGAAUUCCCGGUGUAGAGGUGAAAUUCGUAGAUAUCGGGAGGAACACCAGUGGCGAAGGCGGAGACCUGGGCCAAUACUGACGCUGAGGUGCGAAAGCGUGGGGAGCAAACAGG